rnacentral:lncRNA from 1 species
CCUCUCAAAUACCAACCACGUCAGUUGCCAGCUCGCCUCAAAGAUUUUAACAUUGUAGGCAAGCCAAAUAUGAUAAGCAAUAUAUGCUGCCCUAAUGCCAACAAGUCUAGUAGCCUCGGAUUCCAUGCUUUGUCUCAGGGCUUCCAAAGAGGAUUGGAUAGACCACCCUCUCAAAAUAGUCAGGAUAGAGGGGUAACCAAACACCGCACUCGC